rnacentral:sRNA from 12 species
CGGGUGCGGAGAAGGCAAAAGUUCACCUGAAUGCCCCAAGAUGCUCGCGCAUCUUUGGAAACGCGAAGUGGCAUUUAGGGAGCUAGAGGCGACUCAGGCCCAACCGGCUUGAUAGAAGACGCCUCGAGCUUGGCUGAGCGGAGUUUUCGGUAUGUUUCAAGAUCCUUCGGGGUUGCGACACUAUCAACCAAUAGCGAUGUGAGGUCCGGUCAGGAUUCCUUCGGGAAUUUUGACUGAGUGAGAAGCUCAAGCCCACUUCGAGCUUGAGUGGAACGCAGUUGCCUAAAAGGUGUAGGUUGCCUACUGCAGCAUCAGCACGGCAGGAAUCGAAAAUUGACCGGCAACGGUCAGCCAGUCGAAAUCCUCUGAAAAGAGGGACAAAGCUGGGGUUCCCGUCGGGAUAGCCACGAGCCCAAGACAACGGCCGUGAAAACUAUCCGACCCGGUGGCGAUGCAAAAAAUGCAGCGCUGCCUAGUGAACGAAUGGUAACCUGAGGGGUAAGAGGCGAGACCCGUGGCACAGGCCAACGCACCGUCAAAAGCGGUGGCCGACCUGUGCCAGAUGGCCCGGAUGUGAAAGGUUCACUUCCGCAUCCAGGCCUGGUUCGCAGGUCAGUGGCCGCAACCACUGGCUGAAGCGGGCAAAUAAACCUCACCCAAGAAUCCAUGUGCCGUGAGGCCUUGGACGGCCCUGCUAUGAGGCCGACAACUCCGCGAGUCACGGAGAAUGGCGUCGGGGAGCGACCGACCUGCAUCGCAGGUGCCAAACGGUUGCAACGGGAAAGAGCGUGUGGCGAGCGCC